rnacentral:lncRNA from 1 species
GCCAGAGAUACAAAACCUAGAGCCCUUGGGUCCUUUAAAUAGAGUCAGAAAAGAGUAGAAACAGGCCCGGUCCUAAAGAGUCAAAACAGAGCAAAAACUAAGCUUGGUCUACGAAGCUCGACACUCGGGCACUCGACGUUGAUUUUCUGGCGCUCAUGACCCCAGACUGGGAGCCCAAGCCUUGCAGACUGAAUUCUGGUUGACUUUUUCUGCACUCUGGUUGACUUUUCUGCAUUCUGGUUGACUUUUUUGCAUUCUGGUUAACUUUUCUGCAUCCCAAUUAUUUGGUACUUUAACUCUU